rnacentral:tRNA from 1 species
UUCUAAUAUGGCAGAUUAGUGCAAUGGAUUUAAAUCCCAUAUAUAAAGGUUAAGCCUUUUUUUAGAAAA